CACUUUCCAUCUCUGGGUACUGA
rnacentral:miRNA from 12 species